rnacentral:rRNA from 1 species
GACGAACGCUGGCGGCGUGCUUAACACAUGCAAGUCGAACGAGAGGAGAAGGAAGCUUGCUUCUUUCAAAUCUAGUGGCAAACGGGUGAGUAACACGUAAACAACCUGCCUUCAGGAUGGGGACAACAGACGGAAACGACUGCUAAUACCGAAUACGUUCCUUAGGUCGCAUGACUUUAGGAAGAAAGGGUGGCCUCUACUUGUAAGCUAUCGCCUGAAGAGGGGUUUGCGUCUGAUUAGGUAGUUGGUGAGGUAACGGCCCACCAAGCCGACGAUCAGUAGCCGGUCUGAGAGGAUGAACGGCCACACUGGAACUGAGACACGGCCCAAACUCCUACGGGAGGCAGCAGUAGGGAAUCUUCCACAAUGGACGCAAGUCUGAUGGAGCAACGCCGCGUGAGUGAAGAAGGUUUUCGGAUCGUAAAGCUCUGUUAUAAGAGAAGAACAAAUUGUAGAGUAACUGCUACAGUCUUGACGGUAUCUUAUCAGAAAGCCACGGCUAACU